AUAAUAGCCCCGCGGUGUACC
rnacentral:siRNA from 1 species